GAUCCGUAACUUCGGGACAAGGAUUGGCUCUGAAGGCUGGGUGCGACCAGCCGGGACCGGUGCUCCACCUGCCGCAAGGUAGGCUGGCCCGUGCCCGCGGUCGCACAGCAAACAGCCAAUUCAGAACUGGCAC
rnacentral:rRNA from 1 species